AAAAAACAUGGACACAAAUUAGGGUUUCACAAAUCUCCUCAUUCUUAUCCGCCUCCGUCUCUCUCUCUCUCUUUCUCUCUCUCUCUCUCUCUUUUGCGGCGAUUCAGAAACACGAAGCUAUCUUCACCAGAUCUGUUUGAGAUUUUGCUUUAUUCGGCUGCUAUUGAUGGUGGUUGUCUGGUUAAGUUGGCAUUCCGACCACUGGACAGCCGUAAGAUCGACGGAGAAGAGGUGCAACUGACACUUUCGUCCUCUCUUCAUUGAAACACAUAUAUAAUGUUUGGAGAUGCCAUGAGGAGAGGAAUCCUAAUUGGUGAAAAAAAAAAAGAUAUACUACAGGGAUGUUAGGUGAUUCAUGCUUAAAUUAACUGGCUUGGAUGUUGUUGUGUCAUUUUUCGAGAGAGUUGUAGAGGAAUUUGGUAUUCCAAAAUUUGAGGAUGAUAACCUGCUUGGCGGUUUGGAAAUAGAAUGCUUGACGGGUUUUGUCAUUUUGGCUUUCUUAUAAGGGCGUUGAAGAGCCGUAAAGCACGAUCUUGACACUAUGGGGCUGUUCAUUCCAUCUUCUGAAGAUGACCAAAAGGCGAAGUUAUAUCUCGAAACCUUUACACAAUUCAAAGAAAGGGAGAUGUACGACAAAGCACGGGUCGGAGCGGUUUGAAGAAAUCCCCAUUCGAUUCGCAGCUUAUGAACACUGAUUUGAAGAAAUCCCCAUCUAUUUGCAGGUUUGUUCUCUCACGUGGCACUUUCGGCACCCUCACUUCCUCUCGAAUUUCGCCUUCGGUUGAACAACGGCGGUGACAACUUAGGGUGUUAAGAUCUAGGGUUCCGACAAAAACGGAGAUGAUUAUGACUUCCGGUGGUGAAUGUGUUAAGAUCCUACAAUUAUCAGAUAAGUGGAGGAUCGAACCUUCCAACCAAGUUCCGUUGAAGAUUCCGGCAACUCCAGUAAGGUUGUUUCACAAUUUUAUUUUAGGUUUUUUUUGGUAUUUGGUUAAUUCUUUAGUUUAACAGAAGAAAAAUGGUUUGUUAUUAAACCAAAGUUGGUUGUGUUGAACACGGUUUGCAUUAUGAUUGUCUAAGUUAGUUUGUUCAUUUUUUUAUUAUAUGUUUUGAUCUUAUAAUUUUAUCAAUCUUAGCUUCUAUAACAUUGACAACUUUACAAAAAAGAUGAUGAAAUCACAAAUCCUUUAUGAGAUUUUAGUAAUUCAAAAACCUCAUGGUAUUGGUAUAUGUUGAUUUUGUUGUAAUUUGAUGCUUAUUGAUGAUUAAUUAGCUUGUUAUUAUCAGUUAUAUGAAUUUAGAUCUUGUUGCGAGUGGUUUUUGAUGCUUAGGGUUCGUUGAUGUUAAACUUAUGUUUUUUUGUCAUUGAUUAUUCACAUAAUUGACGGUAUCGAGAGGAAAAGUUUCUGAAAAUGAGGUAUGGUUAUUGAUUUUGCUAUAGGAUUUGGAGAUUUUUCUUUUGUUGAUGAUCUGUGUGAAGCUUAUUUCGAUUCAUUAUUGUAAAUAUGUGGCAAUUGUAUGUGAAAUGUUUACUGGUUUCCUCAUUAUCAAUUGUGUAUGAAGUAUUGACUAAUUUAUUCUUUAUCAUUUGUGUAUGAAAUAAUUAUUUGUUUAUCUUUUAUCAACUUAUUUAUAUAUAUUUGUUAUAAAUUGUCUGUGGCCAAAUGCAUAUGAAAUAUUGACUAAAUUGUGUGAAAAAUUGGCUAAUUUUAUCAAUAUCAAUUGUGUAUGAUUUGUUGAUUUAUUUAUCUUUCAUUAGUUAAAUUAGAUAUUGUUGCCAAUGUGGGAGUGUAUGAAAUGUUGACUACUAUAUUUUUUAUCAGCUCAUUAGAUAGGUUUAUGUAGUACCUUGAUGGGGAUUCUUUUUUUUAUAUUUAGCUGACAUUUGCUUGUAUAUUUACCUUUUGUUAUUUUGUUAUUUUGCGAUUUUUUAUUAAUUUACCUUCUAUUAAAGGCAUAUGAUAAAAACUAUAAUAAGGAUUUUCGAAAGCUGGAUUUAUUUCAAUACCUUGUUUACUGUUUUUCAUUCGCUAUUACAAAUUACAUUUCUUAGUUUAUAAUCACAAUAGAUAAUUUUGUAUGACAGAGCAUAGUUUGUUUUUUCUUUGUUACUUUGUAUUAUUGAAAUGGUGCAGCAAAAUUGAUAAUUACCACACACAUUGACUGUUUUUUUAAUUCUACGGUAAGCUUCAAAGUGAAGCCCUUAGAGAGGCAAUUAAUCAGAUCACUACGGAUGCAAAGGAAAAGAAACGUAACUUCACUGAAACCAUUGAGCUACAAAUUGGUUUGAAGAAUUACGAUCCACAAAAGAACAAACGUUUCAGUGGAACCGUGAAGUUGCCCCAGGGAUUGGUUUGAAGAAUUACGAUCCACAAAUUGGUGGCUGCAGGAAACUUCAUCAGCACAAUACAUACUGCAGCAAUACCUGGCGGCAUCUGGCGGUCAGAAGUUCUAGAACUCGAUUCACAACGCUUAUGCCAUGGGGAAAGUGAAAAUGUUGGCGUUUGAUAUAGAGACAACUACAAAGGUUAUUAAAAAAGAAAUUCAUCAAAGACCGUAGAGUCUGGUAGUUUUGUGUUGUGGCAGAUGAACCCUGAUAUAUGGUAUGUCGAGCUUGCACUUGGUGCAAGCAAGGUUCAUGCUGGUUGCAAUGGGCGGCUCGUGUGGCGGCACAUGCCCUGGCUUGGUGCACAUGCCGCUGAAGGCCCGGUUAGACCCUUGCAUCGUGCUCUUCAGGUUCGGCUGCAAAUGUAGUGGGAUAUGGUCACCUUGGAGACGGCAACCUCCAUUUAAAUGUGUCGGCUCGACAAUAUGAUGAUGCUGUAAGAUCUAUGUUCCCGGGCUUUCAAUUGAUUGCUUUAUUCCACCAGCUGAGUUACGAUUCGGGGACGUGAGUGUUGCAUCUGAGUAUUCUCAAGAAGGCCGGGUUAAAACUGCUGCAAUGGCAGCUGCGGCUUAUCGGGCUAAAGUCGGGGCAUUAGAACGAUCAUGCGACGGGCUGGGUCAUAAUGUCGGGUUGAAGAGGGAUGUAUGAAAAGAUAUAUGAAAAGAAUCGGUGGGAUUGGAUACUAAUAGGGAUAGAUUUGACUCAUAAAAUGCAAUAGAAACUCUUGAUUUUGAGUAAGUUUUCUUGAAUCUGUUAAUAUUUCUAAGGAUUAUCAUCUUUUGAGGCUUUGAUUUUUGUUUCAGUCAAGAGUUAUGUAAUGAAGGCAGCCUUUUUUCUCUUGAUGUAUUGUAUUUGCAUCAUAUCUUAGUUAAAA